rnacentral:tRNA from 1 species
AUUUAUGUAGUUUAAUUAAAACAUUACAUUUUCAUCGUAAAAAUAAAAGAAAUUUCAUAAAUA